rnacentral:rRNA from 1 species
UUAAGCGACUAAGCGUACACGGUGGAUGCCCUGGCAGUCAGAGGCGAUGAAGGACGUGCUAAUCUGCGAUAAGCGUCGGUAAGGUGAUAUGAACCGUUAUAACCGGCGAUUUCCGAAUGGGGAAACCCAGUGUGNCACACUAUCAUUAACUGAAUCCAUAGGUUAAUGAGGCGAACCGGGGGAACUGAAACAUCUAAGUACCCCGAGGAAAAGAAAUCAACCGAGAUUCCCCCAGUAGCGGCGAGCGGACGGGGAGCAGCCCAGAGCCUGAAUCAGUGUGUGUGUUAGUGGAAGCGUCUGGAAAGGCGUGCGAUACAGGGUGACAGCCCCGUACACAAAAAUGCACAUAUUGUGAGCUUGAUGAGUAGGGCGGGACACGUGGUAUCCUGUCUGAAUAUGGGGGGACCAUCCUCCAAGGCUAAAUACUCCUGACUGACCGAUAGUGAACCAGUACCGUGAGGGAAAGGCGAAAAGAACCCCGGCGAGGGGAGUGAAAAAGAACCUGAAACCGUGUACGUACAAGCAGUGGGAGCACGCUUAGGCGUGUGACUGCGUACCUUUUGUAUAAUGGGUCAGCGACUUAUAUUCUGUAGCAAGGUUAACCGAAUAGGGGAGCCGAAGGGAAACCGAGUCUUAACUGGGCGUUAAGUUGCAGGGUAUAGACCCGAAACCCGGUGAUCUAGCCAUGGGCAGGUUGAAGGUUGGGUAACACUAACUGGAGGACCGAACCGACUAAUGUUGAAAAAUUAGCGGAUGACUUGUGGCUGGGGGUGAAAGGCCAAUCAAACCGGGAGAUAGCUGGUUCUCCCCGAAAGCUAUUUAGGUAGCGCCUCGUGAAUUCAUCUCCGGGGGUAGAGCACUGUUUCGGCAAGGGGGUCAUCCCGACUUACCAACCCGAUGCAAACUGCGAAUACCGGAGAAUGUUAUCACGGGAGACACACGGCGGGUGCUAACGUCCGUCGUGAAGAGGGAAACAACCCAGACCGCCAGCUAAGGUCCCAAAGUCAUGGUUAAGUGGGAAACGAUGUGGGAAGGCCCAGACAGCCAGGAUGUUGGCUUAGAAGCAGCCAUCAUUUAAAGAAAGCGUAAUAGCUCACUGGUCGAGUCGGCCUGCGCGGAAGAUGUAACGGGGCUAAACCAUGCACCGAAGCUGCGGCAGCGACGCUUAUGCGUUGUUGGGUAGGGGAGCGUUCUGUAAGCCUGCGAAGGUGUGCUGUGAGGCAUGCUGGAGGUAUCAGAAGUGCGAAUGCUGACAUAAGUAACGAUAAAGCGGGUGAAAAGCCCGCUCGCCGGAAGACCAAGGGUUCCUGUCCAACGUUAAUCGGGGCAGGGUGAGUCGACCCCUAAGGCGAGGCCGAAAGGCGUAGUCGAUGGGAAACAGGUUAAUAUUCCUGUACUUGGUGUUACUGCGAAGGGGGGACGGAGAAGGCUAUGUUGGCCGGGCGACGGUUGUCCCGGUUUAAGCGUGUAGGCUGGUUUUCCAGGCAAAUCCGGAAAAUCAAGGCUGAGGCGUGAUGACGAGGCACUACGGUGCUGAAGCAACAAAUGCCCUGCUUCCAGGAAAAGCCUCUAAGCAUCAGGUAACAUCAAAUCGUACCCCAAACCGACACAGGUGGUCAGGUAGAGAAUACCAAGGCGCUUGAGAGAACUCGGGUGAAGGAACUAGGCAAAAUGGUGCCGUAACUUCGGGAGAAGGCACGCUGAUAUGUAGGUGAAGUCCCUUGCGGAUGGAGCUGAAAUCAGUCGAAGAUACCAGCUGGCUGCAACUGUUUAUUAAAAACACAGCACUGUGCAAACACGAAAGUGGACGUAUACGGUGUGACGCCUGCCCGGUGCCGGAAGGUUAAUUGAUGGGGUCAGCGCAAGCGAAGCUCUUGAUCGAAGCCCCGGUAAACGGCGGCCGUAACUAUAACGGUCCUAAGGUAGCGAAAUUCCUUGUCGGGUAAGUUCCGACCUGCACGAAUGGCGUAAUGAUGGCCAGGCUGUCUCCACCCGAGACUCAGUGAAAUUGAACUCGCUGUGAAGAUGCAGUGUACCCGCGGCAAGACGGAAAGACCCCGUGAACCUUUACUAUAGCUUGACACUGAACAUUGAGCCUUGAUGUGUAGGAUAGGUGGGAGGCUUUGAAGUGUGGACGCCAGUCUGCAUGGAGCCGGCCUUGAAAUACCACCCUUUAAUGUUUGAUGUUCUAACGUGGACCCGUGAUCCGGGUUGCGGACAGUGUCUGGUGGGUAGUUUGACUGGGGCGGUCUCCUCCUAAAGAGUAACGGAGGAGCACGAAGGUUGGCUAAUCCUGGUCGGACAUCAGGAGGUUAGUGCAAUGGCAUAAGCCAGCUUGACUGCGAGCGUGACGGCGCGAGCAGGUGCGAAAGCAGGUCAUAGUGAUCCGGUGGUUCUGAAUGGAAGGGCCAUCGCUCAACGGAUAAAAGGUACUCCGGGGAUAACAGGCUGAUACCGCCCAAGAGUUCAUAUCGACGGCGGUGUUUGGCACCUCGAUGUCGGCUCAUCACAUCCUGGGGCUGAAGUAGGUCCCAAGGGUAUGGCUGUUCGCCAUUUAAAGUGGUACGCGAGCUGGGUUUAGAACGUCGUGAGACAGUUCGGUCCCUAUCUGCCGUGGGCGCUGGAGAACUGAGGGGGGCUGCUCCUAGUACGAGAGGACCGGAGUGGACGCAUCACUGGUGUUCGGGUUGUCAUGCCAAUGGCACUGCCCGGUAGCUAAAUGCGGAAGAGAUAAGUGCUGAAAGCAUCUAAGCACGAAACUUGCCCCGAGAUGAGUUCUCCCUGACCCUUUAAGGGUCCUGAAGGAACGUUGAAGACGACGACGUUGAUAGGCCGGGUGUGUAAGCGCAGCGAUGCGUUGAGCUAACCGGUACUAAUGAACCGUGAGGCUUAACCUU